rnacentral:rRNA from 1 species
CCUACGGGUGGCAGCAGUGGGGAAUAUUGGGCAAUGGAGGAAACUCUGACCCAGCAACGCCGCGUGAAUGAUGAAGGUCUUCGGAUUGUAAAGUUCUUUUCUAAGGGAAGAAGAAUGUGACGCUACCUUAGUAAUAAGCCUCCGCUAACUACGUGCAAGCAGCCGCGGUAAUACGUAGGAGGCGAGCGUUAUCCGGAAUGAUUGGGGGUAAAGGGUGCGUAGGUGGGUUGGCAAGUUAGUAGCGUAACUCCAAGGCUCAACCCUGGAACUACUAUUAAAACUGUUGGACUUGAGUGCAGUAGAGGCAGCCGGAAUUCCUGGUGUAGCGGUGAAAUGCGUAGAUAUUAGGAAGAACACCAGUGGCGAAGGCAGGUUGCUAGGCUGUAACUGACGCUGAGGCACGAAAGCGUGGGGAGCAAACAGGAUUAGAUACCCUUGUAGUC